UACGCAGGGUGCAAGCGUUACUCGGAAUUACUGGGCGUAAAGCGUGCGUAGGUGGUUCGUUAAGUCUGAUGUGAAAGCCCUGGGCUCAACCUGGGAAUUGCAUUGGAUACUGGCGGGCUAGAGUACGGUAGAGGGUAGUGGAAUUCCUGGUGUAGCAGUGAAAUGCGUAGAUAUGCGGAGGAACACCGAUGGCGAAGGCAAUCCCCUGGGCCUGCACUGACGCUCAUGCACGAAAGCGUGGGGAGCAAACAGG
rnacentral:rRNA from 1 species